rnacentral:rRNA from 2 species
CACCACGGAGUGAUUCAUGACUGGGGUGAAGUCGUAACAAGGUAGCCCUAGGGGAACCUGGGGCUGGAUCACCUCCUUAUACGA